GACGAACGCUGGCGGCGUGCUUAACACAUGCAAGUCGAACGAUGAAGCUCUAGCUUGCUGGGGUGGAUUAGUGGCGAACGGGUGAGUAACACGUGAGUAACCUGCCCUUUACUUCGGGAUAAGCUUGGGAAACUGGGUCUAAUACCGGAUAUUCUGCGUGAUCGGAUGGUUGUGUAGGAAAGAUUUUUUGGUAAGGGAUGGGCUCGCGGCCUAUCAGUUUGUUGGUGGGGUGAUGGCCUACCAAGACGACGACGGGUAGCCGGCCUGAGAGGGCGACCGGCCACACUGGGACUGAGACACGGCCCAGACUCCUACGGGAGGCAGCAGUGGGGAAUAUUGCACAAUGGGGGAAACCCUGAUGCAGCGACGCCGCGUGGGGGAUGACGGCCUUCGGGUUGUAAACCUCUUUCAGUAGGGAAGAAGCGAAAGUGACGGUACCUGCAGAAGAAGUACCGGCUAACUACGUGCCAGCAGCCGCGGUAAUACGUAGGGUACUAGCGUUGUCCAGAAUUAUUGGGCGUAAGAGCUCGUAGGUGGUUUGUCGCGUCUGCUGUGGAAACGUGCCGCUUUACGGUGCGCGUGCAGUGGGUACGGGCGGACUAGAGUGCAGUAGGGGAGUCUGGAAUUCCUGGUGUAGCGGUGAAAUGCGCAGAUAUCAGGAGGAACACCGGUGGCGAAGGCGGGACUCUGGGCUGUUACUGACGCUGAGGAGCGAAAGCAUGGGGAGCGAACAGGAUUAGAUACCCUGGUAGUCCAUGCCGUAAACGUUGGGCACUAGGUGUGGGGUCCAUUCCACGGAUUCUGCGCCGUAGCUAACGCAUUAAGUGCCCCGCCUGGGGAGUACGGCCGCAAGGCUAAAACUCAAAGGAAUUGACGGGGGCCCGCACAAGCGGCGGAGCAUGCGGAUUAAUUCGAUGCAACGCGAAGAACCUUACCAAGGCUUGACAUGCACUAGACCAUCGCAGAGAUGUGGUUUUCUUUUUGACUGGUGUACAGGUGGUGCAUGGUUGUCGUCAGCUCGUGUCGUGAGAUGUUGGGUUAAGUCCCGCAACGAGCGCAACCCUCGUUCUAUGUUGCCAGCACGUGAUGGUGGGAACUCAUGGGAGACUGCCGGGGUCAACUCGGAGGAAGGUGGGGAUGACGUCAAAUCAUCAUGCCCUUUAUGUCUUGGGCUUCACGCAUGCUACAAUGGCCGGUACAGAGGGUGGCGAUACCGUGAGGUGGAGCGAAUCUCUUAAAGCCGGUCUCAGUUCGGAUCGUAGUCUGCAACUCGACUACGUGAAGUCGGAGUCGCUAGUAAUCGCAGAUCAGCAAUGCUGCGGUGAAUACGUUCCCGGGCCU
rnacentral:rRNA from 1 species